CCUACGGGUGGCAGCAGUGGGGGAUAUUGGACAAUGGGGGGAACCCUGAUCCAGCGACGCCGCGUGAGUGAAGAAGUAUUUCGGUAUGUAAAGCUCUGUCAGCAGGGAAGAAAGAAAUGACGGUACCUGACCAAGAAGCCCCGGCUAACUACGGGCCAGCAGCCGCGGUAAUACGUAGGGGGCAAGCGUUAUCCGGAAUUACUGGGUGUAAAGGGAGCGUAGACGGUUAAGUAAGUCUGGAGUGAAAGGCCGGGGCCCAACCCCGGGACUGCACUGGAAACUAUUGAACUUGAGUGCAGGAGAGGUAAGCGGAAUUCCUGGUGUAGCGGUGAAAUGCGUAGAUAUUAGGAGGAACACCAGUGGCGAAGGCAGCUUACUAAACUGCCACUGACAUUGAUGCUCGAAAGUGUGGGUAUCAAACAGGAUUAGAUACCCCAGUAGUC
rnacentral:rRNA from 1 species